GUGGCGAACGGGUGAGUAAUACGUGAGUAACCUGCCCUUGACUCUGGGAUAAGCCCGGGAAACUGGGUCUAAUACUGGAUGCUACAUGUCACCGCAUGGUGGUGUGUGGAAAGGGUUUACUGGUCUUGGAUGGGCUCACGGCCUAUCAGCUUGUUGGUGAGGUAAUGGCUCACCAAGGCGACGACGGGUAGCCGGCCUGAGAGGGUGACCGGCCACACUGGGACUGAGACACGGCCCAGACUCCUACGGGAGGCAGCAGUGGGGAAUAUUGCACAAUGGGCGAAAGCCUGAUGCAGCGACGCCGCGUGAGGGAUGACGGCCUUCGGGUUGUAAACCUCUUUCAGCAGGGAAGAAGCCACAAGUGACGGUACCUGCAGAAGAAGCGCCGGCUAACUACGUGCCAGCAGCCGCGGUAAUACGUAGGGCGCAAGCGUUGUCCGGAAUUAUUGGGCGUAAAGAGCUCGUAGGCGGUUUGUCGCGUCUGCUGUGAAAGCCCGGGGCUUAACCCCGGGUGUGCAGUGGGUACGGGCAGACUAGAGUGCAGUAGGGGAGACUGGAAUUCCUGGUGUAGCGGUGGAAUGCGCAGAUAUCAGGAGGAACACCGAUGGCGAAGGCAGGUCUCUGGGCUGUUACUGACGCUGAGGAGCGAAAGCAUGGGGAGCGAACAGGAUUAGAUACCCUGGUAGUCCAUGCCGUAAACGUUGGGCACUAGGUGUGGGGGACAUUCCACGUUUUCCGCGCCGUAGCUAACGCA
rnacentral:rRNA from 1 species